rnacentral:rRNA from 1 species
AGAGUUUGAUCCUGGCUCAGAACGAACGCUGGCGGCAGGCCUAACACAUGCAAGUCGAACGUGAAGCCACCUUCGGGUGGUGGAAAGUGGCAGACGGGUGAGUAACGCGUGGGAACGUGUCUUUCGGUUCGGAAUAACCCAGGGAAACUUGGGCUAAUACCGGAUACGCCCUUCGGGGGAAAGAUUCAUCGCCGAAAGAUCGGCCCGCGUCGGAUUAGCUAGUUGGUAGGGUAAUGGCCUACCAAGGCGACGAUCCGUAGCUGGUCUGAGAGGAUGACCAGCCACACUGGGACUGAGACACGGCCCAGACUCCUACGGGAGGCAGCAGUGGGGAAUAUUGGACAAUGGGCGAAAGCCUGAUCCAGCCAUGCCGCGUGGGUGAAGAAGGCCCUAGGGUUGUAAACCCCUUUCAGCGGGGAAGAUAAUGACGGUACCCGCAGAAGAAGCCCCGGCUAACUCCGUGCCAGCAGCCGCGGUAAUACGGAGGGGGCUAGCGUUGUUCGGAAUUACUGGGCGUAAAGCGCGCGUAGGCGGAUCUGCAAGUCGGGGGUGAAAUCCCGAGGCUCAACCUCGGAACUGCCUUCGAUACUGCGGGUCUUGAGUCCGGGAGAGGUGAGUGGAAUUCCUAGUGUAGAGGUGAAAUUCGUAGAUAUUAGGAAGAACACCAGUGGCGAAGGCGGCUCACUGGCCCGGUACUGACGCUGAGGCGCGAAAGCGUGGGGAGCAAACAGGAUUAGAUACCCUAGUAGUCC